rnacentral:rRNA from 1 species
GACGAACGCUGGCGGCGUGCUUAACACAUGCAAGUCGAACGGAAAGGCCCUGCUUUUGUGGGGUGCUCGAGUGGCGAACGGGUGAGUAACACGUGAGUAACCUGCCCUUGACUUUGGGAUAACUUCAGGAAACUGGGGCUAAUACCGGAUAGGAGCUCCUGCUGCAUGGUGGGGGUUGGAAAGUUUCGGCGGUUGGGGAUGGACUCGCGGCUUAUCAGCUUGUUGGUGGGGUAGUGGCUUACCAAGGCUUUGACGGGUAGCCGGCCCGAGAGGGUGACCGGCCACAUUGGGACUGAGAUACGGCCCAGACUGCUACGGGAGGCAGCAGUGGGGAAUAUUGCACAAUGGGCGGAAGCCUGAUGCAGCAACGCCGCGUGCGGGAUGACGGCCUUCGGGUUGUAAACCGCUUUCGCCUGUGACGAAGCGUGAGUGACGGUAAUGGGUAAAGAAGCACCGGCUAACUACGUG